GGAAGGCCAAAAAGAAGAAGAUAGUUCUGCAGCAGGCAAUUAACGUAUGUAACAUCUGCAUCAUAUCUACCAUGAAGAUGCUGGCUGUGUCUGCACUUGAUUGCCCCGUAAUAGCUCUGGCCAGAGCUGAUGCAGGGACUCUGCUGACCAACAAGUCAACAUCUUGCCGCUGGCCGCUGUUUCCAAUAUGUCCCAGCCACCCUGACCAUAGAGAUUCCUUGUGUAACGCAGAGGCAUGAAGUACCUGUCAAAAUUAGGAACACUGGUGAACGUGUGUUCGUGAUUAUGACUUGUCUGUCUGUGUCAUCAGUCUCCUAUAUAACCUGAAGGCUCUAUAUUUCUCCACAUGCAUUACCGCUGCAAUGCUACUUAUGGAAUGAAGCUACAUGUGACAUAAGCCAGAGAUGAAUUGUCUCUUUGUUUGUUUACUGAAUGUGUAAUGCUUUUAGCACAAUCUUGUAUUGUGUUAUCUUUUUAAUUCUUUAUGCACCAAUAAAGGCUUAAGCACUCAAAA